UACGGGGGGGGCAAGCGUUGUUCGGAAUUACUGGGCGUAAAGGGCUUGUAGGCGGCCAACUAAGUCAGACGUGAAAUCCCUCGGCUCAACCGGGGAACUGCGUCUGAUACUGGGUGGCUUGAAUCCGGGAGAGGGAUGCGGAAUUCCAGGUGUAGCGGUGAAAUGCGUAGAUAUCUGGAGGAACACCGGUGGCGAAGGCGGCAUCCUGGCCCGGUACUGACGCUGAGGUGCGAAAGCGUGGGGAGCAAACAGG
rnacentral:rRNA from 1 species